UUUCUAUGAUGAUAACUUGUCCAGUUCUGCUACUGAAAGAAAGUGGUGAUAAUUACGACUCAGAGAAA
ensembl:snoRNA small nucleolar RNA, C/D box 38A